rnacentral:tRNA from 1 species
UGGCUCAGUGGUAGAGCGCUUGCCUAGCAAGCACAAGGCCCUGGGUUCAGUCCCCAG